rnacentral:lncRNA from 1 species
UAUUUCAUUUGGGAUACCAUGUUACAGCUCACGAAAACCUGCAACGUAAAUUGAAUAAAGCACUGAAAACCAUUUAACAUGAACUCUACCUAUUAUAAAAACUGCAAGCAAAAGCAACCUAAUUCAAUUACUGGUCGACCCACACGAGCGUUCGUGCUAUACGUUAGAAAAACGAUAUGGUUCGCGGUCUGAGCGCCGCGUUUGCGUCAAAUGUACGUUCGCGGAGUGCAAACGUUCACGAAACGCCCGUGUGAGGUUGACGUAAUGAUGAGCAUUGACAAAAAAUAUUUAAAGUCAUCUUUUUUCGAUGAACAAAUAGCUCACGGAAUAUUGCAACAUCAAUUCAAAAAAGCAAUACCAGCAUACCUACUUAAUACGUAAUACUUUUAAUUACACGUGUCUAAUACUUACUCAGAAUUAGGUACCAUACAUAUUUCGUCCGUUGAAGCCCUCGUACGUUUGAACCUCAAGAUAUAUUUCAGAAUUACUGUGAUUUACCAAAAAGCCUACUUAUUAAAAAUUAAGUAGAAGAUCCACGAUCUGCACCGAUACACAGAGGAAGUUAUUUCAACAACUUACAACAAAAAGUCAAAAAGGGAAUCGCUCUCUUGCUGCGAUUCAUGAGUGAAAAUUCAAGAAAGUACUAUUAAAGUCAACGAUCACUCUCGAGAUACGAGGUGACUACCAUUCUUUAUCGACUUGAAGCUAGCCAGAUGACGAGUUGAUGUAGACCCUUAAAUGAUUAUACUCGGGUUGAACUUAUAAUCAUCUUUAAGGACUCUCCACAUCGACGCUACUCGCGCAGUCGAAGAGCUCCUGAUUUCCUGCUUCA